rnacentral:lncRNA from 1 species
ACCAUCCCCCACUCUUCCCUAUUUUUCUAUAGCCCAAACCCUAGCCGCCCAAAUCUUCCAUCAAGCUUAUCCGGCGGCGCCCCCUCAAAACCCAUCCAAACCCACUCAAAUCUCUACACUAUAAUCCUCAACAAUCUCUCACCCCUAAUCCAUCUUUGUUUUGUUCAAGUAAAAAAUCAUUUCUCUCCAAUUCCGGAUCUAGAAGACCCCUUUUCUUUUUUUUUCUUUUUUUUGGCAAAAAUGGAAAUGGUGACACAAAGUAUUAGCCACUAGGAUCUUGUUUUGGAUAAUACUUGUACCAUUAUUUUCAUGGUUGGCCAAGAACUAGCGUGGGUGCAUUUUUGAGUCAACAAAGAAGAUUUGAGCAAAGUCAUGCAUGCAAGGGGUUUUAAUUUUUCUUUGUGUAAUUCUUAGGCAUCACUGCCAACUAAAAAAAAGAAAAAGAGGUUAUAUUGUAUUUUUGUUUGUUGUUUUGGUCAUUCUCGUCAUUUGUUUUCGGCAGUAUGUUUGUGUGUUUUUUUUUACCCUUUGUUUUGAUUGAGGUCAUGUUAAUCACUCGUUUUCUUCUACAUUUCUUUAUCCAGACCAUAGUCCAAGAGUGUUGAGUUUUGGUUGAAUUUGUUGGGCUUGUGGGCCAAUUUGUUUUAAGGGUGAGGGAGUUUAAUUUUUGGGGAGUUAAAUAUCAGUAUUGCAAGGGGUAUUUAGAACAUUUGGGUGCAAGGAAUAAUCUGAUAACUGCCUAGGAAGGUUCUAGGAAAGUGAGGGGUGGGUUGAAGGAACAAGUAGUACAAAAAUUGGGGUAGAAACUGUGCCAAAACAGAAUUGGUGAAGGGUGGGUUUUGAAUUUGAAAAAUCUGAUUUGUUGCCCUAGCAAAGGUAUUAUAAAUACACAGCUUAGUUUAGAAAAAGAAAUAAGAAAAAAAAGGCACGGCAGAAUUAGAUUUGGCACAAAAACUCAUCUCAAGCUUUUCUUAGUUUAUUCCUGAUUUUCUUAAAGAUUUUCUGGUCUCUUUCUACUGAUUCUGGUCUUGAGGAAGCAUGGAGGGGGAUUAUUCUUGCUGCUAUAUUGGUUGCUGAACUCUCAUCUAUCAUUUUUCAGAUUUUUAUUUUUAUUCACCUUCUAAUAGGUAUGUAAGCUGCAUCUUGAUAAGGAUUUGGAAUAAACUAUGCUCAUGUUAAAAUCUCUGUUUCUAGAUCUAGCUUUUGCAUUCUUCUACUUCUUUGAAUCAAAUUAAUUCUCAUCCGUAACUAAUACCAUGAUUCUGGUUAUGAUUAAUGUAUAAAUCGUUUAGUUUAGUAAAGUAAUUUGAUAAAUAUUAGCUUAUGGGGUUUGAAAGUACUUAACUGAAUUUUACAUGUCUCUUGGGCUUGAUUUUGUUUCGUUACUGAAAAUAUCUCCAAAAGCUAAAAGUACUGCACAUAGGAUCUUUAUUGUGUAAGGGUUUAGUAAAUGACAAUUGAAGUUUUGUAGUCAACAAGAGGAAAGUGAAACAUGCGUGUAAGGAAAAUCGAAAAAGGUUUACUAUAUUAUGUCUUGUUUGAUAGUAACAUUUCAUUCUAUGGGUGUCCUUUCUUCUAACCAAUGUGCAUUUUAGGCAAAAGUAGAAGUAUUAAAUUGCAUAAAGGUGGGGAUGGAACAGAAUUCAAUACUGUGUCUUGGUAUGCGUUCUUGGUGGGGGUAAUAUCUCAUGUACAUGUUUGUUUCCGAUUGCAAUCUUGGCCAA